GACGAACUGUCCAAACGUUGUUCGGAAUCACUGGGCUUAAAGGGCGCGUAGGCGGUCGAUCACGUCAGGGGUGAAAUCCUGCAGCUUAACUGUAGAAGUGCCUUUGAUACUGGUCGUCUCGAGGGAGGUAGGGGUGUGUGGAACUUCCAGUGGAGCGGUGAAAUGCGUUGAUAUUGGAAGGAACGCCGGAGGCGAAAGCGACGCACUGGACCUUUUCUGACGCUGAGGCGCGAAAGCUAGGGGAGCAAACGGG
rnacentral:rRNA from 1 species